AACGUGUGUUCAUUUCGUAACCUAAUUAAUAUCAAUCCCCUUUCUUCCCACUGAUAUAUGAAAUUGCUUUCUUCUCUCUUGAUUGAAUGAAACCCAAACUUCUCACUCCGUAAACCUCCAACGACACCGUUUUGCUAUCAAAACGACGCUGUUUUCCUCGUCUUCAUCGUCAUAGUCGUCGUUUUCAUUCGGCAAAAAUGGAGCAAGCGGUUUUGGAUGACAUAAUCAAUCGACUCCUUGAAGUUCGUAGCCGUCCCGGGAAGCAGGUUCAGUUGUCGGAGGCGGAGAUCCGUCAGCUAUGUGCUGCUGCCAGAGAGAUUUUCUUGCAGCAACCUAAUUUAUUGGAACUUGAAGCACCUAUUAAGAUUUGUGGCGACAUUCAUGGUCAAUAUUCUGAUCUUCUAAGGCUUUUUGAGUAUGGUGGAUUACCUCCUCAGUCCAACUACUUGUUUUUGGGCGAUUAUGUGGAUCGAGGGAAGCAAAGUUUAGAAACAAUAUGUCUUCUUUUAGCAUAUAAAAUAAAAUAUCCUGAGAAUUUUUUUCUUUUGAGGGGAAACCACGAAUGUGCUUCUAUUAACCGAAUAUACGGAUUUUAUGAUGAGUGUAAAAGAAGGUUCAAUGUAAGGGUAUGGAAGGUGUUUACGGAUUGCUUCAAUUGUCUACCCGUGGCAGCUCUAAUUGAUGAAAAGAUUUUGUGCAUGCAUGGCGGACUUUCUCCCGACUUGCAUAAUUUGGAUCAGAUUAGAAAUUUACAGCGGCCGACUGAUGUGCCUGAUACAGGUUUGCUUUGCGAUCUCCUGUGGUCAGACCCUAGCAAAGAAGUUCAAGGUUGGGGAAUGAAUGACAGGGGAGUGUCAUAUACAUUUGGUUCUGAUAAGGUCUCGGAGUUUCUUCAAAAACAUGAUUUGGAUCUUGUUUGCCGGGCUCAUCAGGUGGUGGAGGAUGGAUAUGAGUUCUUUGCUAACCGACAGCUUGUUACAAUAUUUUCGGCACCUAAUUACUGUGGGGAGUUUGACAAUGCCGGUGCUAUGAUGAGUGUUGAUGAGACACUUAUGUGCUCUUUCCAAAUAUUAAAGCCAGCUGAUAAGAAAGCAAGGCUCAAUUUCGGAAGUACAACAACUGCUAAACCAGGAAACUCUCCAGCAGGUGUAAAGGUAGGAAGAUAGUUUAAUAUUUGCAGAUGCAAUACAUGCACAAAAUUAGGAGAAACAUAUUUUAUGGUAUGUGAGCCAGAAAUAUGUAUUUAUUUGUGAAGUUUAAUCGUCACGGUGAGUUGGCAAUUCCAUGCAUCUUGACGUUUUUUUCUCUCUUCUUGCUGUGACUCUAUUUGUCUGUGUAUUAUGGAGAGCAUAUAUUAAAUUAGAUAAAUGUAUGGUCAUUUUUCUAGAAUCUGGUUUAUUUUAAAAAAGUAAUUAUAAAAAUAACUGCUUAUCACGACAACACAGAAUUUGUAGAUAAGGUGACUUUGUUGAAGCACACUUUUGUUGUUCUGUGAUUUAUUUCAUGAUAAAUAUUUUUCCAGUGAAUAGUAUUGUAGUUUUGUGUGAUUUCCAUAUUAACCAUAUCUGGCAUAAUUUUAAAUUAUUGGAAUGAUCUGGGAUUUUAUGUGAUAGUCAUGCAAGAAAACAUUUGCGGCAUUGAAUUUAGCAAUGGAAAAAGCUACAUUCAUGGAGAUUUUCUACUGAGAACUCUGAAGCAGCCAAAGCCAUUGGUCCUUCCUUGGUGCAAAAGUAUGAAGUUGAUUUUGGCGAAAAGGUUGUUGUCACAGCUGGUCUGCGAAGGAAAGUUGAGCUGCGUAUGUUGUUUUGGAAUUGUAAAAACAAAGGGAAAUGCUGUCGUGAACUAUGUAGACCAUUGUUUUUCACUGUUACAAAUUUGUAUUGAGAUUUAACAGCCCAUAAUCUCUUCCCUGUUUUCUUUGUACACUAAUUUCUGGUAUAUGUUAUUAUGAGUUUUAAGCU